rnacentral:rRNA from 1 species
AGAGUUUGAUCCUGGCUCAGGACGAACGCUGGCGGCGUGCUUAACACAUGCAAGUCGAGCGAUGAAGCUCCUUCGGGAGUGGAUUAGCGGCGGACGGGUGGGUAACACGUGGGUAACCUGCCUCAUAGAGGGGAAUAGCCUUCCGAAAGGAAGAUUAAUACCGCAUAAGAUUGUAGUUUCGCAUGAAACAGCAAUUAAAGGAGCAAUCCGCUAUGAGAUGGACCCGCGUCGCAUUAGCUAGUUGGUGAGGUAACGGCUCACCAAGGCGACGAUGCGUAGCCGACCUGAGAGGGUGAUCGGCCACAUUGGGACUGAGACACGGCCCAGACUCCUACGGGAGGCAGCAGUGGGGAAUAUUGCACAAUGGGGGAAACCCUGAUGCAGCAACGCCGCGUGAGUGAUGACGGUCUUCGGAUUGUAAAACUCUGUCUUCAGGGACGAUAAUGACGGUACCUGAGGAGGAAGCCACGGCUAACUACGUGCCAGCCGCCGCGGUAAUAC